UUUAGUUAGGGACGGACUAUUAGAAAAGUGAUGGGGUGGGGAGGGAAGAUUUUUUCCCCUAAUUUUUUUCUGGGAAUAAAUUUUUUUUUGGUUUUGCCCCCCCCCUCCCCCCCCCCCCAUCACUUUUCUAAUGGUCCGUCCCUUAUGUUCU